GACGAACGCUGGCGGCGUGCCUAAUACAUGCAAGUCGAACGCAGGGGGGACGGGUGAGUAACACGUGGGUAACCUCCCAUCAGAGGGGAUAACACUUGGAAACAGGUGCUAAACCGAUACGGAUGGAGGUACCUGCGGUGCAUUAGCUAGUUGGUGAGGUAACGGCUCACCAAGGCCACGAGGCGUAGCCGACCUGAGAGGGUGAUCGGCCACACUGGGACUGAGACACGGCCCAGACUCCUACGGGAGGCAGCAGUAGGGAAUCUUCGGCAAUGGACGAAAGUCUGACCGAGCAACGCCGCGUGAGUGAAGAAGGUUUUCGGAUCGUAAAACUCUGUUGUUAGAGAAGCGUUAUCUAACCAGAAAGCCACGGCUAACUACGUGCCAGCAGCCGCGGUAAUUC
rnacentral:rRNA from 1 species